GUGAUACACGGGGUAACUUACGAUAAUUGAGAUGCUGAAAGGUAACAUGGUUUUUGCCAACCUUCAAAAGAUUUUGCAAGUUAAUAAAAAAUCACCGUAGUGACCUCUUUAAGAAUAAAACGGUUUUUCUUUCCUACACAACACAUACACACGUGUAAAGACUUGUACCUUACCUAGGACAUCCUGCUCCAUCUUCGUCUCAUCACCUCUGACCUGUCGCCGCUGCUUUAGAGACCAUGUCAGUGUUAUUUUCAAUGCCACUUAGAGCAGAAAGAUAAGUUCAUCAGAGUCUCCUUUCUACUCACUCCAGGGCUGGAAAAAGUAAUGUCUGUAACGUCUUCCUGAAAAACAAAUAGGUGAUACGAAGGAGUUUAUUCUAUUUGUUCACUCUGAUAGUGUUUAAAAUAUUUUUUAAGGAUUAAAAACUAAAUAUGUGCAAAGUUAAAAAAAAAAAAAAAAACCCAAGUUAACCUUGUUGAAAAAAUUUUAUCAAUUUACGUAUCUUUCCAGGUCAAACAGUGCCAACAUUUUGAGCUGUGCCCUAGACAUGCAAAAUAAGCACUGGGCAUGAUGAUACUUUUUUUUUUCUCUCAGUCUGUAAUCACU
rnacentral:lncRNA from 1 species